AUUCAACUCAAGGCGCCCAAGGCUAUAAACAUUUUCAAAUUGAAUAAAUUUUCUUGUUGGAUUUGUUUUUGAUAGGCCACGGAACAGGAAACGGAUUUUGAAAUGUAUUUUUAUUGCUUGUUUCUGGCGGUGGUUCUGGAGACAGCGUGUCGAUCCAGCUGUAGAACGUCAUCCGGAGGUGGCAGAGUGUGAUGGCCAGCCACGCGGCGCGCGUAUCGACAUUGACCAGAAACUAUCACAUCAUCUCCAGGUCACUGGUCGAGGGCGCUCGAGCUGACGGUGUCUUCCGACGGCUCCACGGUGACCAGCGCCGCCACCGCCGAGACCAUCCGACUCCUGAAAUGCUAGCGGCCGUGCACGAACAAGAGGCUCUAAGCAUCCAGGUGCAAGGCAAGCGCCAUGCUCAGGUGUCAUCCGAAGAAGGCCGCACAGUGCACUUUAGGCUGAGCUCGGGUGUAGUGCGCGCCGACGGAUAGGAUGAAAUGACGGGCCGGCCAUCAGAUUUCAGUGCGGGGAUCAAGAUGGUCGGAGCCGAUGUGGCUCGGUUGAUGAUGUGGCAGGGUUGAUUGAGAGUGAAAGCGAGACACCCGGAUCUGUAAAAAAUACGCCGAUACGGGUCUCGAACGUCGUCUCGCAAUUUGUGCUCUGUAAUAUGACGGCUAUGCCGUGGUAUCAUUCACUCUCGGUGCGCUAAUAAAUAAUAAAUAGGACA